UACGGAGGAUUCGAGCGUUAUCCGGAUUUAUUGGGUUUAAAGGGAGCGUAGGCGGGUUGUUAAGUCAGUUGUGAAAGUUUGCGGCUCAACCGUAAAAUUGCAGUUGAUACUGGCAUCCUUGAGUACAGUAGAGGUAGGCGGAAUUCGUGAUGUAGCGGUGAAAUGCUUAGAUAUCACGAAGAACUCCGAUUGCGAAGGCAGCCUGCUGGACUGUAACUGACGCUGAUGCUCGAAAGUGUGGGUAUCAAACAGG
rnacentral:rRNA from 1 species